rnacentral:rRNA from 1 species
GACGAACGCUGGCGGCGUGCCUAAUACAUGCAAGUAGAACGCACAGUAUAUACCGUAGCUUGCUACACCAUAGACUGUGAGUUGCGAACGGGUGAGUAACGCGUAGGUAACCUGCCUGGUAGCGGGGGAUAACUAUUGGAAACGAUAGCUAAUACCGCAUAAUAUUAAUUAUUGCAUGAUAAUUGAUUGAAAGAUGCAACUGCAUCACUACCAGAUGGACCUGCGUUGUAUUAGCUAGUAGGUGAGGUAACGGCUCACCUAGGCGACGAUACAUAGCCGACCUGAGAGGGUGAUCGGCCACACUGGGACUGAGACACGGCCCAGACUCCUACGGGAGGCGGCAGUAGGGAAUCUUCGGCAAUGGACGAAAGUCUGACCGAACAACGCCGCGUGAGUGAAGAAGGUUUUCGGAUCGUAAAGCUCUGUUGUAAGAGAAGAACGGGUGUGAGAGUGGAAAGUUCACACUGUGACGGUAUCUUACCAGAAAGGGACGGCUAACUACGUGCCAGCAGCCGCGGUAAUACGUAGGUCCCGAGCGUUGUCCGGAUUUAUUGGGCGUAAAGCGAGCGCAGGCGGUUAGAUAAGUCUGAAGUUAAAGGCUGUGGCUUAACCAUAGUACGCUUUGGAAACUGUUUAACUUGAGUGCAGAAGGGGAGAGUGGAAUUCCAUGUGUAGCGGUGAAAUGCGUAGAUAUAUGGAGGAACACCGGUGGCGAAAGCUGCUCUCUGGUCUGUAACUGACGCUGAGGCUCGAAAGCGUGGGAGCGAACAGAAUAAGAUACUCUAGUAGUCCAAGGCGAAUUCCACUUUGGGGCUGCAGCCGGGGGAUCACUAGGUCUACAGCGCCCCCUUCAAAAAACUCCAUUCGGGGGGGUAGGGGGGGGAAAAAAAAAAAAAU